AGAGUUUGAUCAUGGCUCAGAGUGAACGCUGGCGGCGUGGUUGAGACAUGCAAGUCGAACGAGUCUGACCUGGUCGUAAGACCGGGUUAGUACGAGUGGCGUAAGGGAGAGUACAAAACAGGUAACGUACCCCGGACACCGGAAUAGCUCGUCGAAAGGCGGAUUAAUGCCGGGUGAUGUCCCGGACCGUAUGGUUCGGGAUCAUAGGAUGGGGACCCUUCGGGGCCUGUCGGUCUGGGAGCGGCCUGUUUCCUAUCAGCUGGUUGGUGAGGUAAUGGCUCACCAAGGCGAUGACGGGUAGCCGGCCUUAGCGGGUGUUCGGCCUCACUGGGACUGAGACACUGCCCAGAGCCCUACGGGGUGCAGCAGUCUCGAAUCAUCCGCAAUGCGCGAAAGCGUGACGGUGCGACGCCGCGUGCGGGAGGAAGCCCCUCGGGGUGUAAACCGCUUUUCAGAGGUAUGAAGUGCGCCCGCCGAAUAAGCGGGUGGCAUUGACGUCAACUCUGGAAUAAGCCACGGCUAACUUCGUGCCAGCAGCCGCGGUAAGACGAAGGUGGCGAGCGUUGCUCGGAAUUACUGGGCUUAAAGCGGGCGCAGGCGGCCCGGUCAGUCGGAUGUGAAAUCCCUCGGCUCAACCGAGGAAUGGCGUCCGAUACUGCCGGGCUUGAGGCAUUCAGGGGCGACUGGAACUCUCGGUGGAGCGGUGAUAUGCGUAGAUAUCGAGAGGAACGCCAAUAGCGAAGGCAGGUCGCUGGGGAUGUCCUGACGCUGAGGCCCGAAAGCCAGGGUAGCGAACGGGAUUAGAUACCCCGGUAGUCCUGGCCCUAAACGAUGCACACUAGGGUGGGGGGAGGGUCUGACGCCCAUCCCUGCCGCAGAGAAAUCGUUAAGUGUGCCGCCUGGGGGAGUACGGUCGCAAGGCUCAAAACUCAAAUGAAUUGAC
rnacentral:rRNA from 1 species